UACAGAGGGGGCGAGCGUUGUUCGGAAUUACUGGGCGUAAAGGGCGCGUAGGCGGCCCGCUAAGUCGAACGUGAAAUCCCCAGGCUCAACCCAGGAACUGCGUCCAAGACUGGGAGGCUUGAAUCCGGGAGAGGGAUGCGGAAUUCCAGGUGUAGCGGUGAAAUGCGCAGAUAUCAGGAGGAACACCGGUGGCGAAGGCGGGUCUCUGGGCCGAUACUGACGCUGAGGAGCGAAAGCGUGGGGAGCGAACAGG
rnacentral:rRNA from 1 species